UAUGAAGAAGGCCUUCGGGUUGUAAAGUACUUUCAGCGGGGAGGAAGGGAGUAAAGUUAAUACCUUUGCUCAUUGACGUUACCCGCAGAAGAAGCACCGGCUAACUCCGUGCCAGCAGCCGCGGUAAUACGGAGGGUGCAAGCGUUAAUCGGAAUUACUGGGCGUAAAGCGCACGCAGGCGGUUUGUUAAGUCAGAUGUGAAAUCCCCGGGCUCAACCUGGGAACUGCAUCUGAUACUGGCAAGCUUGAGUCUCGUAGAGGGGGGUAGAAUUCCAGGUGUAGCGGUGAAAUGCGUAGAGAUCUGGAGGAAUACCGGUGGCGAAGGCGGCCCCCUGGACGAAGACUGACGCUCAGGUGCGAAAGCGUGGGGAGCAAACAGGAUUAGAUACCC
rnacentral:rRNA from 1 species